GUGUGUCUAAGUGCGUGUGAGUUUGUGAGUGUGCAAGUGAGUGGGGGGCACCUCCUCGGUCCUCUCCCGAGCCCCCCUCUCCUGGCCUCUCCUCUAGUGUCCACUCUGGGGAUAGCUCAGCACAGCUUCUUAGGAGGGGCGAGCUGGUGGCAUAAGCCCAUGCAGUCUCUUCUCAUUCUGGCUGGUUCUGGGCAGGGCUCCUUUCUCCCCUUAGCUGGACAACAGUUUGUUCUCAUUCUCAACAGUGAGAAUUAGACAGGACAUCGGUCCCCACCUCCAGAGCCCACACCACAAGCCAGGUGCUGUUCCCACAGACUCGUUCCAUCUUCACAGUACCCUAUGGGGUGGUGGUGAUUAUUACCUGAAUUUUACAGUUUCAGAACAUUUCCAUCGCUCCAGAAGAAGACCCCGUGACAACGCAGAGCGGUCACUCCCCACGUGCCCUCCCCUGAGCCCGCGGGAGCCUCUGAUCUGCUUCGGUCUGUAUGGAUUCGCCAGUUCUGGGCGUUUCAUGUGAAUGGAACCCUCAGCAUUCGUCCUUCUGUGUCCUCCAGGGCUUUGCAUGCUGUACCAGUGCCGGAACGCCAGGCUCUUCAUGUCGUGGAUGAGCGGGUUCAUUGUGCGGACACACUUGUGUGUUCAUUCAUCUGUGGAUGGGCUCAGGGCUGUCUCCACCUCUUGGCUGCUGUGAACAGCGUUGUUAUCUGCAUUCAUGUGCAAGCUUUGUCUGAGCACCUGUUCCGAUGCUGUGGGGUAGGGACCCAGCAGCGUAAUGGCUGAGCUGCAGGCCCUGUGUUUAAGGGCUUGUUUUCUGCCGGCCAGGCCUCGACAACAGUCCUCAUGGUCUGGUCCUGUCUGCGCCUUCCCUCUGGGCUCCCGACCUGCCCAUCAGUCCACUCCAAGGUUGUUUUCUGCCCCUCCCUCCCUAAAACCCAGGAGCCCCAAGACUCUGAGGGACAGGUUCCAGAUGGGGAAAUCGAGGUCCUCAGCGAAAAAGAGUUUUGCCCCAUAAGUUGGAGUGGAGCUGGGAUUUAGCCUCAGCCCUCUCCCUUCCCAAGACCCCUAGGUCCUAGGUCUUUGUGCUGUAGCUGCAUGUCCCACACAGGGCUAUCGCUCCCAGAGAGAGCUGGCCACAUUAUCAGUCUCUCAUCUCCUGGGCACUGGCUUUCCUGGCAGAUCCAGGGCAGGACGUGGUGGCUUUUGUGUGAAAACAAGUCUCAAGUGGGCUCUGCAGCAGAAUGCUAGCCUGGUAUACACUUCCAGCCCUGUUGAGCGGCAUCUAAGAAACGUGGCUUGGGUGGGCAGGGACCUUCCCCCACCCCCCACCCCGAGCUCCUCUGCCUCAGCCCCCCCGGCCUCAGCUGCUCCAAGGCUUAGAGGCAGAGAGACUCUGGAUGGCCUCCUCAGGGUGCGCUGGGGAGGGCUCUUUGCCGUGUUCACAACUCGCCCCUGCCUGGCUCCCCUGAAGCUCACCUGAGCCUCUGAACCCAUAGGUGACAGGGAAAGAAACCCUCAGAUGGACUAUCACGCCCCUCCCACUGGCCAGCCCCAGGCAUUGAUGAGGGUUGGCAUUUUCUCUUCAUUCCUCCAGGGCCCCUGGCUCCGCUCCGCUUCCCACCCCUCCUGCCCCCUCCAGAGCAUCUGUGACCACGCAAUCAAUAUGGAGCUGAUCAAUCCAUCUGUCCCUCUGCUUGGCUGAGGCAGCUGGCAAUGAUGGCCACCUUGGGACCCCACAUGUGCCCCUGAGAUGGUGGCAUGUAUCACCCCCUCAUUGCACAUGUGGGGAAAUUGAGGCCGCCAGUGGAGUUGGGCCAUCCCAAAGUUCUCAGCAAGCCUGUGGGGUGGGAAGGGGUGGAAACCCGCUCAGCUGGUCCCUCUUUCAGACAUCAUGUCUGUGAGGCGUGUGGUCCUGGGCGCCCUGUGUCCCCGUGGCCGUGCCCCAGGGGUCCUGAAGUGCUAAACCACAGAUUCAUUAAAUGUCGACUGAGUGUCUGCUGUG